GACGAACGCUGGCGGCGUGCUUAACACAUGCAAGUCGAACGGUGAAGCGCCUUCCUUUUUGGUGGGUGUGGAUGAGUGGCGAACGGGUGAGUAACACGUGAGUAACCUGCCCCCUUCUUCUGGAUAACCGCAUGAAAGUGUGGCUAAUACGGGAUAUUCUGGGUCUGUCGCAUGAUGGGUCUGGGACAGAUUUUGUUUCGGUUGGGGAUGGGCUCGCGGCCUAUCAGCUUGUUGGUGGGGUGAUGGCCUACCAAGGCGGUGACGGGUAGCCGGCCUGAGAGGGUGGACGGUCACACAGGGAAUGAGACGCGGAGCCGACUCCUGGGGGAGGCAGCAGUGGGGAAUAUUGCACAGUGGGAGCAAGCCUGAUGCAGCGACGCCGCGGGAGGGAUGGAGGCCUUCGGGUUGUGAACCUCUUUCGCCAGUGAAGCAGGCCUGCCUUGUUUGUGGGUGGGUUGACGGUAGCUGGAGAAGAAGCGCCGGCUAACUACGUG
rnacentral:rRNA from 1 species